rnacentral:tRNA from 2 species
GUCGGUGUGGCGUAGUCGGCAACGCAGCAGUCUGCCAGUCUGCAGUCGCGGGUUCAAUUCCCGUCACCGGCU